UUUGAUUUCAGUAAUAUAUUGUCCGUUAUUGUGUAUAAAAGAGUUCUAAAAUUUGAUAUGAACGGAACUCUUUAGGUAAAGAAUCCGGGUCAUCUAGUGGACAAGCCGGGGGUGAUACACGCUUAAAGGGUGCGCUUUGAAGCAUGGAAAUAGUACGACUCGUGGUCAUGGAUGUUGAUCAAGCAAUGGGGUGCAAGAACCGAACACACAUUUUGAAUGCUUCCGCGAUUAUCUAUUCAAGCUAGAUGUUGAUGUUGUUUUUGAAACAUUGUUAAAUAUUAUGUUUUAAACCAGUUAGUACGCUUUGUCACUCUUUAACUUAACUUUGUA
rnacentral:lncRNA from 1 species